rnacentral:misc_RNA from 1 species
CACACUUGCUGGUGUGAGGGGUCGGAUGCGGCAGGUGGCUCCCAACCUACUGCACGUAGAGGAGAGGGAACCUUCGACAGUGUCUGCUGAGCUGAAGCCUAAAGUCACUCGCCAAAUGAGUUUGGCUGCUUUUGGCACCACUGUGGAGAACUUUUAUAUGACGGAUGCUAUCACUAGAGCAUCAAAGAUCAUGGCGCAGUGCAGUGCGUCACUUCUGAAGAAGUGAAGCUUCAGCUGAAACAGGAAAUUAUGUUGGAGAGUAUUGUUGGAUUUCCGGAACG